rnacentral:rRNA from 1 species
AUCUACGGCCAUAGAAUCCAGAAAGCACCGGGUCCCGUCAGCUCCCCGUAGUUAAGUUGGAUAUCGCUCGGUUAGUACCAAGGUGGGGGACCACUUGGGAAUCCCGAGUGCUGUAGUUUUGU